GUUCUUCCGCGGUGAGAAUUCCAAGCAGGUAGCGCCUGGCCUCUCCUCUCUGGCCCCUGCCAUCUGACCAGGUGCAACUGGGAGCCAACCCACAUUUAGGAGACUUGGAUCAUCUCCCACCAGGAUCACUGACAGGGAGAGACAUGUCUCCUUCAUGUCCAGCCCCAUGGUGAGAAGGUAUUUCUGGGGUCGGCCUCGGGCUGGGUGGCACCUCCUGUUAGCACUGCAAGGGAGCCAGCUCCUCCUUAGAGUGUUCCGGUGGGGGUCCCCUUGAGAGCGGUGCCUCCAAUGCCACCUGCCACCCCCAAAGCCUGCCGGGCUUGACUUUGCGGGGACUCCAGCUGUUGGACAUCUUCCCACACUGAGGAGUCAAGCUGGACCCUCCUGACAUCCCCCGGUGACCCAGAAGGAAGAAGAAAGGGGGAGAAAAGAGAAGAGGCGGCGGCGCGGAGGGCCCCGUGGCAGGUGUCCCCCUUGUCCUUGGCGCUGGGGUCACCUCAUGGUCUCGUGCUCACCGGUCCCUCCCCUGCCUGCUCUCCCCUCUCCUCGCUUUCUGCCUGGUGGAAGGGUGACAGGUUCCAAGGCCAUCUCACACGGUCCUAAAUUACAGGCGCCUGCCUCCUGGUGUGGGUUGAAUUGUGUCCUCCCAGCCCCAGACACCUACGGAUGUCCUCCCGGGACCUUAACUGGAAACAGGGUUCUUCGUUAAGACGAUGUCACCUGGGGUAGGUGGGCCCCUGCUCCGUAGGACUGUGACCUUACCCGAGGAACAUCGUGUGCUGAGACAGACUCACACAGAGGGAAGACGAAGUGAGGUCCCGGGAGGAGGCCACCUGCUGGUGAAGGGACGCCGGGGGCUGCCAGAAGCAGAGAGGCAUAGAACAGAUUCUCCCUCGCGGCCCUUGGAAGGAAUCCAGCCGGCUGAGGCUUUGAUGUGAACUUCUGGCCUCCAGAACUCCAAGAGAAGAAAUGUCUGCUGAAGGAGCCACCUCGUUUGGUAGGGUGUCAUGGCAGCUGCUGUAGCCUAGAUCCAGAAAGUCCCCCACAGUCCCAUGUGUUAGAAGCUCGGUCCCUAGGGUUGUACUAUUGGGAGGUGCUGGGCCUUUAAGAGGCGGGGUCUAGCGGGAGGUCUUUAGCUCAUUGAGGAUUGUGGGAC